rnacentral:misc_RNA from 1 species
AGUUGAAUUCUUGUUGAAAAGAAUAAAAUUUUGAAUUUAAUUCAGCAUUUGUCAUCAGAGUUGAAAAGAGAAAGCAUAAAGUUUAAGUAUCUUGAAGCUCUGAUAGUGAUACCAAACUCGUGAAGGACAGCCUGCAGGUGUUAGAAUUAAUGUUGAAAUUUGAUAGUUUAUGACCGCUAGAAAUGAGAAGGAAUUUAGGUAAAGAAUUUAGGAUUUGUGAAAUGAUGGAAU